rnacentral:rRNA from 1 species
GACGAACGCUGGCGGCGUGCCUAAUACAUGCAAGUCGAGCGAGCUUGCCUAGAUGAUUUUAGUGCUUGCACUAAAUGAAACUAGAUACAAGCGAGCGGCGGACGGGUGAGUAACACGUGGGUAACCUGCCCAAGAGACUGGGAUAACACCUGGAAACAGAUGCUAAUACCGGAUAACAACACUAGACGCAUGUCUAGAGUUUGAAAGAUGGUUCUGCUAUCACUCUUGGAUGGACCUGCGGUGCAGUAGCUAGUUGGUAAGGUAACGGCUUACCAAGGCAAUGAUGCAUAGCCGAGUUGAGAGACUGAUCGGCCACAUUGGAACUGAGACACGGUCCAA